rnacentral:rRNA from 1 species
UUUUAUUGAGAGUUUGAUCCUGGCUCAGGACGAACGCUGGCGGCGUGCUUAACACAUGCAAGUCGAGCGAUGAAGCUU